rnacentral:rRNA from 1 species
UGCCAGCCGCCGCGGUAAUACGGAGGGUGUAAACGUUGCUCGGAAUCAUUGGGCGUAAAGCGCACGUAGGCGGUCUGUUAAGUCAGAUGUGAAAGUCCACGGCUCAACCGUGGAAGUGCAUUUGAAACUGGGAGGCUUGAGUAUUGGAGGGGGUGGUGGAAUUCCCGGUGUAGAGGUGAAAUUCGUAGAUAUCGGGAGGAAUACCGGUGGCGAAGGCGACCACCUGGCCAAAUACUGACGCUCAUGUGCGAAAGUGUGGGUAGCGAACAGGAUUAGAUA